rnacentral:lncRNA from 1 species
AGGGAAAGAGUAAGGUCAACAAGGGCAAGGGUAUAGUGUGAAGCUGUAUCGAGAUGAAGGGUCCGAUGGCUAGUUUCCGUGGCGAGAGUGUUUAUAUUUUCUUAGUCAUUUGUAACAAUGAACUUAUUAUUGUAAUAAUAUUCUGAAUUAGUUUUAAGUGGAUAAUUGACCCCAAACUUGUGGGGUGAGUUAUGUAAUGUAAGACAGGUACUAUGCCGAAAUUGUGUGACAGCCUGUAUCCGAGAGAUACGGAUUUGGGGGUGUUACAUUAUAGAUAUUUGAUGAAUUAAGAAUUUUGGAUCAAUUUCAAAUGUAAUAUUAACUGAUAUAAUAUUUAAAUUUAUUAUUUAAUAUAAUAAUAUUCGAAGGCUUUGUUGAAAUAAAAUAAACACAU